rnacentral:rRNA from 1 species
GUCUACAGCCAUACCACCCUGGACAUGCCUGAUCUUGUCUGAUCUUGAAAGCUAAGCAGGGUCGGGCCUGGUUAGUACUUGGAUGGGAGACCACUUGGGACUACCAGGUGCUGUGGGCU